UCCAACCCGGGUCAUUCUGUGAUUCUGUGAUCUUGCCACAUACUUGGAAAUGAGAUCUUCUAUUCCAGUGUAGUGAGUGAUGCAGUUCCAAACACUGACACAGUGGAUGAAAACAUCUCUACAAGUUCUUGUUGAGAUGCAAGGCAGCAUAAGGAUAGUUUGUUUGUUUGUUUGUUGUUGUUCUUGUAUUAUUUUUUCCUCUGUUGUUCCACUGGCACAGCACUUUUGUUAAUUCUAUCACUAAGCUAAAAAUGUCUCGCUCCACAGAAUUUAAUAAUGGUAGCAAAUAGAGGACCAAGCUCUUUGUAUAAGCCAUACGUUAUACAGUAAAUAAGGAAUGUUAUGAUCUAGUUGCUAAUAAAACACCAUGGGAAAUCUGAUGAUCUUAUUGAGGCCAGAAAGAAAAAUGGUUCUUUCACAUAACAGUGUCACCCAACAGAUGGCACUCUAACAUUCACAGUGAACUACAUUUGUAGUGGGUACAGAGACAUUUGGGGUGAAUUUCAGCUUCUGGCCGUGUGAUGGUUUUAUGAUUUUUUAUUUCAUUUUUUGUGAUCAGUAUUCCACAUCGUAACAUGUAGUGCACUGGAAGUUAGAGUUAAUGCUCCAGUCACCUGGACUGUCGAAAUUUCCAGGUGCCUAGUCAUACAGUAAUACAAUUAUGCAGUUGAUAGGUAAACAGGGGUUAAACUUAAAUGAGAUCUGGGAGAGGUGGAGCCAAGCUCCACUCCAUCCACUAGCACAGCCCAAUUACCUUCACCUGUGCUCCUGCAGCUGAAUCAUAGCUUGUCUCAGGUGGUUAAUCAGAGGUUCAGGCUGUGAUCAACAGUUUCCCAUACAUUAGUUCUCAGAAGUAACUUUGAGAAAGUCUUCUCAGAAGACCUGACCAUUCUGUUUUCCAUUUAGAGGGAAAGAUGAAACUGACACGACUGCCCCUUUUCUUUUACUGCUUACCCCCGUGCUGUGUGCUCCCUAGCCAUCUUGCCUUCACUGUUAGAGAAUUUGCUGUUCAGCACUUACAAGAUACAAAAUGACUGCCGGCUGGAUGCAUGUAUGUGAACGACCAGAACUAACAGACCUGGAACAGGGCAGCUGGGCUUGAGUUGUAAGGAGGCGUCCCGGAGCACAUCGGUGGAGAACAACGUGGAGAACGAGUGGUUCCUCGUAGCUCGUGCAGAAGAUCGGCUGUGCCUUCCCGGAGCUGGUAGCUGUCCUAGUGGGGCGGAGGGCGACCUGCGUUACCUCAAAACCCAAAGCGAUGGAGCCUGCCCCCAGUGAGUGCCUUCAGCGGCGCCCUGCGUUGCAGUGUGUACGAAACCGGCUCGUCCUUAAGCAGGGGCGAUGAUGGGGACGGGGCGUUCCUGUUGAUAGAAGAGGGUAAUUUCCUCCUGAAGUGGCGAGUCCUGAGAACAGAGUAAGUGCAGCAGCAGCAAGAAAUAUCAGUUUGAAUAGCAGUCAUUAUGAACCUGGCUGUGAAAACCAAGUGGAGGAAGAAUUGUUUAUGUUCCUGUUAGUGUUGGAUUGAACAGGGAGGAACGGAAGCCUCUGUGAAGUACUAGUAAUUGUUGCAUCUGACAGAACAUUACUUCCAGCAUUCUGUUAAUAAGCUAGAAAGGUAAGAACUACAUGUAACUGGGGACUAUGUAGUACCUGCAAGUACUUCAACUAAGUUGGUUGGUUUUUCUUUUCAUGACUUCCUCAAAGAAAGUCAGAACCCUUUCUCCUUUGUGUGCUUAAUAUAGGUGCUAUGCCUUCUGUGUAUGAGUACUAAUUCCUCUACUAUGCUCUCUGUUAGUGAAAGUUAUGGCUUCAGUAACUAUUUAUCUUGGUUUGGUAAAGUAUUAAGCUAUUCCACAUGAGUUAAUAGGUGACUGAAAAGUGUUAUUCAUUUGGUUGGUUGGCUGUGGAAAUUCUUUAAGCUUCAUUGAGAAGCAAUCCCAGGGAAUAACAAAUAAGAAGUAAUCUGUUUCCUUUACUUGAGAAGGCAGCUGGCUAUGUCCGUCUCCAAAAGAUCCAAUAAAAAUAAUAAUAAUAAUUGCAGAAAUAUCUGAGGAUUUGCCAGUUCAAAAUACCAUGACUGCUAGUUGCUUCAAGUUCCAGCGUGCACUGUUUGGAAUCUCCCUAUCCAAAUGUUUAACAAGACAAAAUAAGCGUUAGGAACAAAGGAAGUGGAAGAGAAAUAAGCUUUGGAUAUAUCAACAGGGAAUGCCACUAAUUUACUGCCUUAUUUUGGUUAAUACUGUCUGCGUAGUACACUGGUAGUUCCCCACAAUUUGUCUUUUCACUUAUUUGCAUAGAAGGUGUAAUGUGGAAUUUCAGUGUAAACGUGUAUGGAGUGCCAGACAGUGCUGGCGUGGUAAUGCAAACAAAAAUCUAGUGCAGUAAAAUGAAAUUCUACCAUUUAGCUCUGAGUCCCAGCGGUGACAUCUUGAUGCUGCUAUGGGUAACAUGUGAUAUGAAGGAGUUUGAGAGAGAAGCUGCUUGUCUUCCUUCAGAGGAUGGCUAGCAGGAUGAUGGGGGUGGACUUUUCCCAUCACAAACAGUUAUUUGUGGUGAGAGAGGGGCAACUGUACUUUCUUUGCCUACUUCUGUCGUGUCCUGCAGCUGCUGGAGUUGUUACUCAUGGGCAGUCAUUCCUGGUUGACACAGACAGUUCAUUUAUACAAGCCACGAAGUCUGGAGUUAUUAAUUGGCAAGAUAUGCAAUCCAGUUUCUGAUUUGAUAGCAGUAGGUCUGGAACACUGUGCACACAUACACCAGAUCAAGUACUUCAUGUUGACAGUCCAUCAGAUAGAAAGUUUUGAAACAUAUGUAAAAACAGUUUCCUGAUAACAAAAAAAAACUCCACUAGUGUAUGGUCCAUUGUCAUGGCAACAACGGUUGUGGGUUGUAUAUAAAUUGUCUUGAUGAAACUUUUUUCUUUGUACUUACUACAGGUAAGUUCUCUAAGAGCAACCACAUCUCAAAAUACUGGCCUUGACUCUGAAGAGGAAGAUGCUCAGUUGACACCAGUUGAUGUGGAUAUGAACCUAGUAACUAAUCUGCUUGAAUCUCCUAGUGCUCAGGCUGGACUGGCAGGACACACCUCUGACACUUUACAGAGCAUGGAUGUGAAUUUACCUGAGAUUACAGGUAGUAUUGGCUCGAGUGAAGGUGCGACUGUAUAUAAUAAGAGGCUGUCUCAAUUCAGAAGAUGUGACUGAUUGGGAAAAGAGAGGAGUAGCAACAUUUGGGAGAAGAGACGAGGUCUGCAUUUAAAGCACAUUAUACAUGUGUUACGUGUGGUUUUAAAGGCAUAAAUUGAAAUUAUCCUGAAAUGCUGUCUAUGUGCACACUGUUUUAGACAGAAUUAGGUUCUUUCAAAAAACAGUAUGUUUUCAGAAAACUGCAAGAUUAUAUUGUGACUUGAAUUCAACUCUUGUUACAAUGCUUUUCUUUAAAGCUGGCAUUCCAAUUUGCUGUAUUUCCAAAGUAUCCUUUACCCAUAGCAAGGUGCUGUCGGUAUCUGGAGAAUGCCGCUGCGUUCAUGGAGAGACAGAGGAAUACCAUGCAGGAGGGGCUGUGUUCCCUCAUGUGAAUUUGGGAAUGCUGAUUCAACGUUCAUCACACAUUCAACAGCUUUUCCAAAAGUACAAAUGCUACAUUGUAGAAACUUUUGAUAAUUGCUAUAAGAAUGGUUUCCUUACUAAUAGAAGUAUUUGAGUAAUCUGAUGGGAUAUGUUAAUAUUGCUAUAAUACUGAGUUUAUUUAAAAUAAAAACACAAGUACAACUUGA